CCCCGGGCCACACACUUCUUCAUAUGCCCAUAGGGAGCUGCCCGAACUAUGGAAUGUUAAGAAGUGUGUGUUCUUGGG
rnacentral:pre_miRNA from 1 species